CGUGCAUGCGUGUCCAUGUGGCAAAAUGUCCAGAAGACCGUUAAUACCCUAGUACUAGGGAUUCUUCAAGGGCAAAUAAUUACGUAAAUUUUCAUUAGCCGACUCUACAAUCUGUUUUUAUGAGGACUUUUUACUACCUACAUUGGUAAACAGAGCUUUGAACUUUCUACUUGUUUCACCGAAUAGUCAAAUUGUCUAUUGCUCUGCGAUCUUCCUUUCCUUAGAUGUGGGCUUUAUGAUGUGGUAUGCAUUGGAUCAUGAGGUGUUCUUUUGUAUACUGUUGGACAUAUGAUGUGGUAUGCAUUGGACAAUAAUAUGUUCCUUUCUAUGGAUAGACCGAUUUUUUUUUUUUUUUUUUUUUUUUUUUUUUUUU